rnacentral:rRNA from 1 species
UACGUAGGGCGCAAGCGUUAUCCGGAAUUAUUGGGCGUAAAGAGCGUGUAGGCGGUCCGGUAAGUCCGCUGUGAAAGUCGGGGGCUCAACCCUCGAAUGCCGGUGGAUACGGGCAGGCUUGAGUUCGGUAGGGGAGACUGGAAUUCCUGGUGUAGCGGUGAAAUGCGCAGAUAUCAGGAAGAACACCCGUGGCGAAGGCGGCUCUCGUGGGACGGUACUGACGCUGAGACGCGAAAGCGUGGGGAGCGAACAGG